rnacentral:misc_RNA from 1 species
AUAAUAUAAGGUUAUAGCAUAAAAAUAUUAAUAUAUUAAAAAAAAUUACAAAAGGUUACUUCAAAGUAUACAAAAUAAGUACAACCCUCUUUAGGCCAGAUUCAGACAUUCCAUAAGUUCUUGGGUGAAAGAUCAAAAGGAUCCUUGAGUCCAAAAACAAGGAAGAAGGAAUAAGUACAGACUCGAUGACUGAGAAUGCCAAGAACCCUUUGCAAAAUCACGAUACUGUUAAUAAUGAAAACAUGACCACCUGUGCACGCACCUUCAACCAAGUGACUACUGUUCAUAACUAUAC